rnacentral:piRNA from 1 species
CCCUACUGUCAAAAAAAAUAUGC